rnacentral:rRNA from 1 species
UACAGAGGUCCCGAGCGUUGUUCGGAUUCAUUGGGCGUAAAGGGUGCGUAGGCGGCGGGGAAAGUCUGAUGUGAAAUCCUGGGGCUCAACCCUGGAACUGCAUUGGAUACUUCCUUGCUAGAGUACUGGAGAGGAAACUGGAAUUUACGGUGUAGCAGUGAAAUGCGUAGAGAUCGUAAGGAAGACCAGUGGCGAAGGCGAGUUUCUGGACAGUUACUGACGCUGAGGCACGAAGGCCAGGGAAGCAAACGGG